AUCCAAAUUGCGGCAGUAAACAUCUUUCCCUACUAGCGGGGAAUUCUGUCGGUCCAAAUUUUUGGGAGUUAUUGCUGGGCAUGGACGGUCGCGGCUGGUUAAGCGAUGAUCAUAUAUUUGGGUGGAUGAUCCACAUGUAUCAUUCAAGAAAUGAAAGUGAUCGGUGGAGUAUUCUACCCCCAUAUUUUCAAAAUUAUUUUCGGUACACGGCCGUCGACCAUACCUGUAAAGGUUACUUUACUGGGCAGGUUGACCCUUUUCCAUCAAUACAUACUGUUGACGAGGUUUACGUACCGUUGUAUAUAGAAGGUGCUCACUGGUUUUUAGGCGUUUUCAACCUUGUCAAUUACACGC